rnacentral:rRNA from 1 species
CCUACGGGAGACAGCAGUGGGGAAUAUUGCACAAUGGGCGAAAGCCUGAUGCAGCAACGCCGCGUGAAGGAAGAAGGGUUUCGGCUCGUAAACUUCUAUCAAUAGGGACGAAAGAAAUGACGGUACCUGAAUAAGAAGCCCCGGCUAACUAUGUGCCAGCAGCCGCGGGAAUACGUAGGAGGCAAGCGUUAUCCGGAAUUACUGGGUGUAAAGGGUGAGUAGGCGGCAUGGUAAGCCAGAUGUGAAAGCCUUGGGCUUAACCCGAGGAUUGCAUUUGGAACUAUCAAGCUAGAGUACAGGUGAGGUAAGCGGAAUUCCUGGUGUAGCGGUGAAAUGCGUAGAUAUUAGGAAGAACACCAGUUGCGAAGGCAGCUUUCUAAACUGAAACUGACGCUGAGGCACGAAAGCGUGGGGAGCGAACAGGAUUAGAUACCCGGGUAGUC